CGACAUUCUUAUUUUGCCAUUCCCCGCGGCCGUCUGUUGGAAACUCAUUUAUCAGCUGUGAUUCGUUUGAUUUCUCAACCUCACAGUUUUCCACCAGACUCAGAUCCACACCAGGUUUUAUAACGAGAAAAAAAAAUUAAUCAACACGAAAGCACAACAAAUGCACACCACUUCAUUCUGCGCAGUGCUUUCAUGUUCCAUUCAGAACUUCUGCGAGCAGAGAUCUCCAGUUCAUUGAAUUCCUUAGAACUAAAUCACAACGCAGCUGUAAGGGACUGCUGCACCUCACAGAGUUAACAGAAAAUCUUUGGAGUGUUUUGUCUGCUAAGUUCAAAGAGAUCAGGGCAAGAGACACACGACUUCACCGCUGAUUUAUCUUGGGUCAGUGGGAAUAAUAUUCAUCCCUAAUAUCCAUCCUAACAGCACACGGCUGUGUAUCAUCUCAGGAAACAGAUACAGGAAGUACAAACCCUGAGGUGUUAAGCUUCUACAAAGUGCUUGUUUUAAUUUUCCAAAGAAUGAACAAACAACGACAACAGAAGAGAUAAUGCACAUGGUCCUCUACAACUGUAAAGUUUCAGACCGUCAGGGAUGCUGACAAAAUCUUUUUUGCUCUCAGAAGAAUAUUUAAUAUUUAAUAUGAAACAUGAAUAUUUAAUAUUCCAAGCCAACAACUGAAGGAGCAAUAAAUAGCUAUGUGAUCUGUCCAGAAUUCAAGAAUCUACCUUGACAAACAGCAUGUGUUUGAAGCAUUCCUCUCUCUUCAUACAGUAUCAUUCUGAUGUGCUUCUGCUGAUAAGCCUCCCUGUCUGUCUGAGACAAAAGCUGCUUUUGAAGCACCUGUUACCACACUGUAGCCACAAUGUUUGUAGUCACAAGAGAAAUAAAAAGUUUGCUUCCCACAGAGUAGUAUUGUUCUUACAAAGUCAGAUCAGAUUCAUAUCUUCAGUGUAUAACUGCAGUGUAUAACUGCAUCAACACAAGUCGCAGCAGGAAAUUAAUUUCCCAAAUUGAGACCAUUUCCUAUUGGCCAAAGAGAAGUAUAAGGACUAAAAGAAGGACUGGAAUUUCAUAUAUUCACUUGUUUGGGUUUUUUUUUUUUUUUUUUUUUUUUUUUUUUGUUUGUUUUGUUUUAAGAUGAGGGAGGGCAAGGACAGGACUGACUGAGCAGGCAGAAUUACACAGACAUGAUAGAAACAUGGUACAUAACAUCUAUGUAUAUAUAUACCAUCACAUAUAUGUAUGCAUUUAUGUAUACUACUGUGUGUCUGUGGUAAGGCUAUUCCAAUUCUGACCUCUCUCUCACCUUGACUUCUGAGGGACAAAAACUGGGACAACUCAAGCUCUGCCUUUCAAUGCCUGUUUUCAAUGCAGUCAUUGUUUGCUUCACCUGGCUGGUUUAUCUGUGAGAAUGCAGAAAGCCUGAAGCACGGAGUUCUGGAAAACAAAGAGAGAGAUUUGAUGCAGAGAUAACAUCAACUGCUCACAGCUUCAGUAUUUUAGGCACAACACACUGAUUUUCACUGGAUGCAAAUCCUUGAGUAUCUGGUAAAAGAUGCUUUCUCAGAGACAGCGCCAUGUCCUGUGCACCAGUUUGCUGAAUUAGGUCUCUUAAGAUUACAGAAACCAACCAAACAUCUGCCUCUGUGGAUCUCUUUUUCUGAGUGCAUGAGUUAGCGAUUCCCAGCCUGUUAUUGCUCAAUCCCUACAAUGCAGGAAACCAAACCCUCUGAUUAAUACAAUUGUGAGAAACUGAGAAAGUCUGUGGUGUGAACCCACCUCUAUUUCAGACUUCUAAUAGCAACCAAAGAGCUCCUGGAAACAAGUUAUUUAACCAAGCGGUUCCAAGAGUAGGGACAUAUUUUCUGAGAUAAAUCAGUUUUUGGAACAUUCUACACUGCAAUUUACAUUCCAGGGUCAUGGAGUGCUCCUACCCCAUCAUUACAUAGCUCAAUCCUAACUACUGAGACCAUGCAAUCAGCAUGUCUUCUGAAAAAAAUCAUAUUCACUAAGAGGAGCACUCUGUAGAAAGGCAAAACUUGCUGAGACUUACUUAGAAAUAAGAGAUAAAUCCUGACACAGUCAUGAAGUACUCUUAUCAAAGCGAAGGCAAGGCACAGUCUAAUCUGGCAGUUCUGAGGGUGUUGGAAGAUAUUCUCAGGGUGCUCACCAUGGGGGAGGAAGCCUGUAAGAGCUAUCUCAGGUUCUUGAAUUUGCUGGAGAAGUUCACUGUGUGUAACGCUGCUGACUUUGUUUGAUUCCAAGUAUCCACCAGCAACUGAGAAAGGCUGCAGUCUGCAGUCUGUCACCGAGAUAUGCUACAAGUAAGUUAUCUUCAGUGCCAUUCUCUGCAGAAACUUAUGCAUAUUUGUGUUUUACACACACCGCAGUCAUAGUCACUUGUCUCACUGUUAACCAUCUGACCCUUUAACCAGGCUACAAACUCUUAGGACUCUGUUUGGAGUAAUAGCUAUACCCUUCAUGUUAGAUCCACUUUCAGUAAACCCAGUAGAAGCAGUGCUGUGCUGACUGCCUGAUUGUUUCGGCACAGCCUAUGCUGACAAUUUGCUAAUUUGUCUCUCAUUGCUACUAACUUCAACCACGUACUGGAGAUUUACACUCAUUUGGCAAGAUUUUUUCAAAUAUUUUUCUUUCUCAGGUCAGUACGUUUUCUAACAGUGGAAAAAAUAUUAUUAAACAUGUUCCCACUAUUUAAAAAGAUUGAGGGAAGUUAAUUUACUUUCCCAUUUUAACCUAUUUCUACUUUAACAUACCAAUUGCUGUGUGGAUCCAGUAUCUUUAGAAUUAGUGGGGAAAAAAAAAGUAAAAGGUAGUGCCUUUUACCGUUCUUCCAGUAUGGUGCCUGGAAGAACAAAAUUCAACCGACCUCAAGAGAGCCAACAUGGUGCCUCUGGAUCCCCAUUUCUGACCUGCUGACUCUUGUGCUCCUCCUUCUAACAGCAGCAGGCACAGCUCAGGCACAGCGCUCUGCACAGCUCCCUGCAGACACCCAUGCUUUCAAAGGGAGCUUUGGGAAUUCGGGAUGUAAUUCCAAAGAUAUUUCCCUUUGAUAGAGAAAAGUUGUCUUUGCAGACACCUUCCUGGCUCCUGAAGAUUACGGCUACAGAAAGACAGAAACCAGAAGACAGGAUACGUUUGCUAAUAAUCACUUGAAAAGCACUUUGAUGGUUAACAUCCUUGCGUGGAAGCCCACGGAACUGUAGCUUAGGCCUGGGUAGCAAUAGCAGCCGAUACUGCCCAUUUCCUUACUCGGGUGUCCAACAGAAACAUGUGCAGAACCGGUUGCACAGCGGAAUUUUUUGAAGACCUGACGUUCGCGCUGUGAACACGGCAGAUUUGUGCACGUCUCAGGCUGACCCCAAAGACAUUUCCCGUCCGUCCCUGGGCCGCUGCCACCCCGGUCGGGGCCCGGGCCCUGCGGCGCU
rnacentral:lncRNA from 1 species